UACAGAGGGGGCAAGCGUUGUUCGGAAUUACUGGGCGUAAAGGGCGCGUAGGCGGCCUUCUAAGUCGAACGUGAAAUCCCCGGGCUCAACCCGGGAACUGCGUCCGAGACUGAAAGGCUUGAAUCCGGGAGAGGGAUGUGGAAUUCCAGGUGUAGCGGUGAAAUGCGUAGAUAUCUGGAGGAACACCGGUGGCGAAGGCGGCAUCCUGGACCGAGAUUGACGCUGAGGCGCGAAAGCCAGGGGAGCAAACGGG
rnacentral:rRNA from 1 species